rnacentral:lncRNA from 1 species
UGGCCUUGGGAUAGGCAAUAGUUUUUUAUGUACAAAACUAAAAGAAGCGACAAAAGAAAAAGAAAUAGUGCUUCCUUAAAAAUAACUUUUUUCUUUUUAUGUGUAUGCGUGUGUUGCCUGCAUGUAUAUCUGGGUACCACGUGUAAACAGUGUGCACAAAGGCCAGAAGAGGUCAUCUGAUCUUCUGGGCCUGGAGUUACAGAAGUUUAUGAGUCAUCAUGUGAGUCCUGGGUAUUGAACCUGGGUCCUCUAGAAGAGUAGCCAGUGCUGUUGCUUGCUGAGCCAUCUUUCCAGCUCGUACUUCUUCCCUUCUUAGUAGAACAGCAUUUAAGGUGAGUGGAUGGAGGCACUGAAGAGAUGGCUCAUCAGUUAAGAGUGUGUGCUGCUGCUGCUGUUGCAGAGGACCUAGGUUUGUCUCAAUGCUCUCACAUCAGGAGGUUCCCUACCUCUUAUAAGUCCAGUUAUGGAGAUCAGAGAGUCUCUGGCCUCCACAGGCAUGUGUACUCAUGCGUAUGGAGCAUAUGCACUUAUGUAUACGUACAGACAUACUUAUGUAUACACACACAGAGAUAAAAAUAAUCUUGAGAAAGGUGGAUAGACAGAUAGUAGGAAAAAAAUGCCUUGCAAAUUCUUGGUAGGUUUUUCUUUUUUUUUGUUUUGAGUUGGGGGGUCUCACUAUGUAGUUCUGGCUGGUUUGGAACUUGCAAUGUAGACCAGGCUGUCCUCAAACUCAGUUUGCCUGCUUCUGCUUCCCGAGUGCUGGGAUUAAAGGAGUGCCUUAAAAGUAGCAGGUGUUUUUAAAUUAUAGAACAAGUAAAGCUAUGUGACAUUUUGUAAAAAGCCUUUAAUUUCAAAUCUCCAUAUUAAUUGUAUAAAAAUAAACUAUAUUAUGUAUUUCUCUCUUGUUUUUUGCUUUCAGUGAUGUUCUUUGUUACCUGGUUAAAUGGUUCACUUUCACUUAUUUGUAACUUAUUAUUGUUGUUGAUGUGUGUGUGGUAAUGCACACGUGUGUGUGUGUGUGUGUGUGUGUGUGUGUGUGUGUGUGGUGCCAGGGGAGGAUGCCUGGUGCCUGCUCUCACUCUCCACCUUCUUCCUCUGAAGCACCGUCUCUUGUUGAGCCAGCCAGCAAACCCCAGGCAUCUUCCUAUUGUCACCUCCUGUAGUGCUGAAGUCACAGGCACAAAGCCAUACCAGUCAUUUUUAACAGGGAUGCUAGGGAUUUGAACUCAGGUCUUCAUGCUUGCACACUAAACGCUCUGACCCCAUGAGUUGUCUUCCCAGACCUUUUCUUGUUUUCAUUUAUUUCAACUUUAAGUCUCUGUCUUUAACACUAUAAUUUUCCCCACCGUUUCAUCCUCGCAGGCAUAGAAAAAGGGUCAUGUGACGACACUAGAACGUAGUUUUCUAUCAGGUUGCAGAGAAUGCAUUUCUUGGUAAAAGUGCGUCAGGCUUGGGUUCUCUACAUUUGAUAACCAAUUAUUAUAGGAACCGCCAUUCUGUUCAUUUGUAGAACAGCAUGCUGGCAAGGAAGGAAAUGCAACCAUGGGCGUGCCAUCUUGUGAGGAGAGGAAGUGGACAGAUUAUCUGUGUGUUGGUAUGGACAGUAGUGUAUGUUCAGACCACAAGACUUUAAAAGGCAUUUUUAUAGCUCUUAGGCUAACCCUGUGGCGUGUAAGCAUUAUGCUUCAUACAGUAUGAGCCUAUCGAAACCAUUCGGUGCUCAUUCUCUUUAGAGAGUGAGGUUCUGUUUGGUUUCCUCUUGGUCUUAUUCUGCGACAUCUCAGGCAUUGGCUCGUAUACUUUCUUUAUUCUUUGGAGACAGACUCUCACUCUGUACCCAGAGCACCUGAACUUGAAGUCUAGCAUGCUAGCAGGCCCAGCUACAUUUUAAAAUGUUUUGUACCUUUUUUCAGUUUCUUGAUGUGCUUUUUAUUUCUGUGUGUUUUGCAUAUGAUUUACUCAUUUUAUGUAUUAAUCUCAUUUUGGUAUUAGUAGGAUUGAUGUCUUGAAACAGUUCCUUUUAGUCCUCUGUCUCCCCUGACCUCUCUUCUAAUUCAGGGAAUUGAUCAUUCUUUCCUUUGCCAAUUGUUUUUUUGUUUUUUUUUUUCCUUUAAAGUUAAUAUGUAACUAUUUGUUUGAGAUUACCUUUACUUUUUUCCUUUUCAAGUCAAAUGUUUAAAAAAGUAUAAUUCCUAAUUCCCAUGCCUUUUGUUGACUUAGUUGUUCAUGUUUCUCAACCAUUAUUUUUCCCCAAAUAUACUAUGAAAAAGUUUUAAACUAUACAGAAAAGUUGCAAUAGUUGAUAGCUGUAACUGAGUGCAGUGAACCUGGUGUCUGACUCCCUUGCUCAGUCUUUGUUGUUGCAUACAUUAGUAGCAGAUGCUGUUGCAUGCAUUAGUAGCAGAUGCUUGUACAUUCAAACACUACCAUUUUAGCUUGCACAUCAUUAACUGAGUUUCAAAUUUGUAUAGCAAUCUUUUUUUUUCUUUUGGGGCAAAAUUUACUUAGAAAAAAAAUGCAGAGAUUUUCAGUGUGCUGUUGAAUGAUUUCUUUAGCUCUAUUUUUGUGUAGAGUAGCUGCCUUCUCUAAGGAGACUGAAAACUGUAAAGCCCCAAACCAUCCCCACACUCAUGUAUUCCUCUACAUCCUCAGGAGGCUUCAAAUGUGCAUCAUAAAGUGCUCUACAGAUUCCAUUCCCCUUUUCAUUGUACAAAUGCUUUUCAC